GUCAAGAUGGGAGAGUAGCAGACCACUCAGCUUGCAACUGGAAAGCCUGGGUUCAGUUCCCAGUACUGAUA
rnacentral:tRNA from 1 species